CUACCGAUUGAAUGGCUCAGUGAGGCCUUCGGACUGGCUCGAGGAGGUUGGCAACGACCACCUCAAGCCGGAAAGUUGUACAAACUCGGUCAUUUAGAGGAAGUAAAAGUCGUAACAAGGUUGAUUCUUCGCACACUUGCGGGAGCCUUUGCAGCUGGAGACAGUAGCCCAACGACUAUAAACAAUCCGGUGCCUCAUGCAAGUCAGCUCCGGCUGGCGACACUUUCGAAUUGCGGGGAACCCCUAAGAGCCCUUCACACCAAGCCAGCCUGGGAAACCAGCUGGUGGCCCAUUGGAAACCAUGGGGUACGGUAACAGUUGAAGGGAUGAUCCGGCACCGCGAGGUGCCCGGUGAAAUGGGCAAUCCGCAGCGAAGCCCCUGGCGUUGAUGGUAGCGGUCUGCCGCAGCCAAACGUGGGGAACGUUCACAGACUAAGUGGAAGUGGGUGGAGCGCUGCAAAGCUCUCUGCUUAAGAUAUAGUCGGGCCCCCUCGGAAACGUGGGGGAUGAACAAACGUUCCGUAGGUGAACCUGCGGAAGGAUCAUU
rnacentral:rRNA from 1 species